CUAAUUCCAAAUCCCUAAUUCUAAACCUAAUUUUCCUUUCCCAGCUGCCAUUACCCCCUUCUCCUUUCUGAAACACCAACAUACACACAUGCACAGGGAUGGAGAAGAGAGAAAGAGAGGGCGCCAGCGGAGAAGAAGAGGGGAGGGAGCCGCGCCACCACCAUCCAGCUUGUCGCGCCGCUGCCACGGUGCCGUCGUAGUCGCCGAGAAGAGAAGAGAGGGAGAAGAGGAAUGCAGCCAGUAGCCAGGGGUAGUCACCGUCGCCGCCUUGGAGCCAUCACUGUCGCCGAGCCGCACGUCAUCACCGCUGCGAAUUGCGAGUAGAGGAGAGGGAUAGAGACGCGUUCGCGAGGGAGCUACUGCCGUGGAGAAACUUAUCACCGCGACCGUCGCAGCACCGCGACCGUCACAGCACCGCCAUCCUCGCUACCAUCCGCGCCUCUGUUACCAUCGUUGAAGCGAACGAGAGAGAAGGAGACGUGGAAGGAGGAGCCGUUGAAGCGAACUUGCUGCCGUCACGUCCUGCCUAGCCACCGUCAUCGAAGCCUUAUUGCCGUUGAUUAAGGAUGUUAUCGUGAAGCUCAAGGAUAACGCGUAGAAGUUGAAUGGAGUUGUCUUUCCAUUGCUAAAAUCAUGCUUCGAUUUCUGCCCUGUACUGCCUGGAUCCAUUCACCAUUUUGCCCGCCUCUGUUCCGGUGGGGUUUGCUGUUCUUCAUGGUGAGACUGAAUUUGUUUUACUUCUUUCACCAUGAUAAUUUGUUUUAGUUUUACCUAAAAGCCAUUUCAUGUUACUUUUAAUUUAUGUCAGAAUAAACUGUUGUUGUUCAGUGUUGAUGUUGCUUCAGUUGCAGUUCCAAACCCCAUUUGGUUCUAGUUUUGGUUCUGUUUCGAGCUGCGUUGCCAUCUGGGUAGUCACCAACCACAGCUGCCGUUGCUGGAGCUCACCGGAGCUGCUGUUAUGCCGUUCCUUCUUUUAUUCUUAACUUCAAUUUGCUGGAGUUAAAGCUGCAGUUGAUUUUGGGGCUGAGGGAAAGGGUUUCUGGUGACGGAUUUAAUUUAUGGAUUUGACUUUCCGAGCAGGAUUGAUUUGCAGCAAAACCAACCAACAUGGGAAAAAAGAAAUUGUUAGAGUCCCGAUGCUCACCCAGCUACAUUCAUAACAUGAUGAGAACGAUAUCUAAAAAUAACUCCGUUGAGAAGCUUGUGGACAUUGAUGAGAUCGGAUUCGGAUUCUUGAGGCGUGUUCCAAAUUGGUCUGUAAAGCAAGCCAUCAUGGUUCACCUAGCUGAGUCGUAUCAAGUAAAGCAGAGAACUUUUAUACUCGACAUAGACAACAUCUGCCUCAAUGCUGAGUUAAUCGGGAAGGUCUUCGGCCUUCCGUCUCAAGUGGUUUGCCCCAGUCUGUAUUGAUCGUCAUUGGUGGUUGUAUGCCUUUGAGAUAUAUCAGAAAAGGCUGUGGGUACUGGAUAGUAUGUAUACAGGAGAACCUAAUAAUGAAAGAUUAAAAAUACAUGCUUAUGCGGGGAGACUCAUUGAAGACAUGAGAAAAGUUACGAUUUCCGCAUAUGAGCACACGGAGUACGGUCUACCUCGUUUCUAUCCUAGUGUACCAAGACAAGAUAACGGCUGGGAUUGUGGUGUAUUCGACAUCAAGUUCAUGCAGUUUUGGAGUUUAGAUAAACCCUUGCAGCAUUGGGACAAGAUGAAGUUAGAUAUAUUAUAACAAUUAAUUUGAAGCUCUUUCUAGUCAGUUUCUUUCUCGGAUUUAAAAUUACCCUUCCACACAAAAUUGUCAUGCAGGACGUUGUACAGGAGUUUAGGAAUGAGAUCAUACUAGACAUAGUCUUGGGUCCUCAUAAUUCACAAAUUGGGAUGGCGCUGCAGGCAUUGAACAACGCUCCUGUGCGCCGUAACCAGCCAAGGAAAAAGACUAAGGAUGUGAAAUCACCCUUCACAGCACCAAGCACGAGGAGCAUGCUGCAGCGUACGGGGUUACCCACUAGAAAGACAGCCAGGGGGGAGACAACGGAAGAAGACAGAUGCACAGAUUCAUGAUUUCAUGUUGCGGAUUUUGUCAAGUUGAUGGUGACAAUCAAGACAAAUCCUCUGCAUGGAUGGUGCUCAUGCUAGGCAUUAGGAUGUUUCUUUUCUUUGUAAAUUUGAUGGUUUUGAAUUUAUUUUUUGAUCUAUCAUAUUUUAGGCAUUUGAACUUGUAUAUACUUAAUUGAGAAGUGAAUUGCUCGUGUUUUGUUAGAUACUCCUCAGCAGGUUUCGUAUGUUAGGUAUUUCAGGAUUCUCAAGAAAUUAGUUUCAAUCUAUGGAUAUCAAUAAUUCAAUAAGAAAUGCACUGCAUAUUUAUACUAUUUCGUCAA